CAGUAGCCGCGGUAAUACGAAGGGUGCAAGCGUUACUCGGAAUUACUGGGCGUAAAGCGUGCGUAGGUGGUGGUUUAAGUCCGUUGUGAAAGCCCUGGGCUCAACCUGGGAAUCGCAGUGGAUACUGGGUCACUAGAGUGUGGUAGAGGAUAGUGGAAUUUCCGGUGUAGCAGUGAAAUGCGUAGAGAUCGGAAGGAACAUCUGUGGCGAAGGCGACUAUCUGGGCCAACACUGACACUGAGGCACGAAAGCGUGGGGAGCAAACAGGAUUAGAUACCCCUGUAGUCCCUGUCUCUUAUAC
rnacentral:rRNA from 1 species